UCCCUGGAGGCCUAGUGGUUAGGGCACAGAGCUCUUACCGCUGGGGCCCAGGAUUGAUUCUUAGCCAGGGAC